GAAAUCGGUAGACGCUACGGACUUAAAAUCCGUUGGCACAGACCUUAAGGGUUCAAGUCCCUCUACCCCCA
rnacentral:tRNA from 1 species